GAUUAAUACCGCAUAAGAUUGUAGUACCGCAUGGUACAGCAAUUAAAGGAGCAAUCCGCUAUGAGAUGGGCCCGCGGCGCAUUAGCUAGUUGGUGAGGUAACGGCUCACCAAGGCGACGAUGCGUAGCCGACCUGAGAGGGUGAUCGGCCACAUUGGGACUGAGACACGGCCCAGACUCCUACGGGAGGCAGCAUG
rnacentral:rRNA from 1 species